CGGACGGGUGAGUAACGCGUAAGAACUUGCCCUUUAGACUGGGAUAACAGAGGGAAACUUCUGAUAAUACUGGAUAAGUUAGUAUAUCGCAUGACAUGCAAAUGAAAGCUACGGCACUAAGGGAGAGCUUUGCGUCCUAUUAGCUAGUUGGUAAGGUAAGAGCUUACCAAGGCGAUGAUAGGUAGCCGGCCUGAGAGGGUGGACGGCCACAAGGGGACUGAGAUACGGCCCUUACUCCUACGGGAGGCAGCAGGA
rnacentral:rRNA from 1 species